AUCCAGACUGAAAACCUACAUGUUUGAUCAGACCUUUAGCUCAACUUAAAACACUGCAGCUCUGUACACUUUUUUUCUGAAACGGCACUUUUAUAUCAUGUUUUAUUCAUGCUUUAUUGUUAUUUUAUUUUUUUAUUUCCAAUUCUUUGUUGUUCUUUUACAUAUUUUUAAUUUUACUUCUCUUUGUUUUAAUCAUGUUUAAAUCAAUCAUUCUUUAUUCUUUUUUUUGUUUUAAUUUCCAUUUGUACUGUUAUUCUUUUAUAUGUUUUUUAAUUUGACUUCUCUGUGUAUUUUCUAAUUUGUAAAGCACUUUGAAUGACCGUUGUGUAUGAAAAGUGCUAUAUAAAUAAACUUGCCUUGCCUUGCCUUCAUAUCUGCUUAUUUCCUUGUUCAGACUGCAGAAAUCAGGAGAACCUCCAGAACCAAGCUGUGUAUCUAUGAAGAGUGACAACUCAAGGAGAAUGCCUCCUACCUUCAGUAAUGAAGAAGACCCUCCAGAUCCCAGCUGUGUAUCUAUUAAGAGUGACCACUCAAGGAGAAUGCCUCCUACCUUCAGUAAUGAAGAAGAUCCUCCAGAACCCAGCUGUGUAUCUAUGAAGAGUGACAACUCAAGGAAAAUGCCUCCUACUUUCAGUAAUGCUGUAACAUUGAAAGGGGGAAAGAGUAAUCUACUGCAGGAUCAGUCCAGGUGUGGAUUGUGUGAGGAGCUUCUUACAGAUCCAGUCUCUAUCACCUGUGGACACAGUUUCUGCAGACUGUGCAUCAACAGAUACUGGGAUGAAACUGGUCUGACUGGAGAUUUCAUCUAUCCUUGCUGCAGAAAGAGAUCUAAAACACGUCCUGCUCUUCAUUCACACACAGAGGAGUCUAUAAAGCAAGAUUCUUACCAACUAGAGGAUGAUGUUCUUCCCAGUAUCACACAGAAACACAAAACCAGUAUGAAGAACAGGUACGAGAGCUUAUUUGAGGGAAUCAAAACACAAGAGAACAGAACCCUCCUGAACAGGAUUU
rnacentral:lncRNA from 1 species